UACGGAGGGGGCUAGCGUUGUUCGGAAUUACUGGGCGUAAAGCGUACGUAGGCGGCUUUGUAAGUUAGAGGUGAAAGCCUGGUGCUCAACACCAGAAUUGCCUUUAAGACUGCAUCGCUUGAACGUCGGAGAGGUGAGUGGAAUUCCGAGUGUAGAGGUGAAAUUCGUAGAUAUUCGGAAGAACACCAGUGGCGAAGGCGGCUCACUGGACGACUGUUGACGCUGAGGUACGAAAGCGUGGGGAGCAAACAGG
rnacentral:rRNA from 1 species